rnacentral:sRNA from 2 species
CACGAAGGAACGCAGACUGGGAACGGCCACGUCCUGUGGCAACUUCUGCAUGACCCCUAGCCCCUGGG